rnacentral:rRNA from 1 species
AGAAUGAACGCUGGCGGCAUGCCUAACACAUGCAAGUCGAACGAAGCCUUCGGGCUUAGUGGCGCACGGGUGCGUAACGCGUGGGAAUCUACCCUUGGGUUCGGAAUAACAGUUAGAAAUGACUGCUAAUACCGAAUGAUGUCGUAAGACCAAAGAUUUAUCGCCCAGGGAUGAGCCCGCGUAGGAUUAGCUAGUUGGUGAGGUAAAAGCUCACCAAGGCGACGAUCCUUAGCUGGUCUGAGAGGAUGAUCAGCCACACUGGGACUGAGACACGGCCCAGACUCCUACGGGAGGCAGCAGUGGGGAAUAUUGGACAAUGGGCGAAAGCCUGAUCCAGCAAUGCCGCGUGAGUGAUGAAGGCCUUAGGGUUGUAAAGCUCUUUUACCCGGGAUGAUAAUGACAGUACCGGGAGAAUAAGCUCCGGCUAACUCCGUGCCAGCAGCCGC